rnacentral:snRNA from 1 species
GUGCUUGCUUCAGCAGCACAUAUACGAAAAUUGGAACGAUACAGAGAAGGUUAGCAUGGCCCCUGAGCAAGGAUGACACACACACUUUUUUUUU